rfam:Ailuropoda melanoleuca scaffold1510_76, whole genome shotgun sequence.
ACCUGGUUGGCUCAGUUGGUAGAGCAUGUGACUCUUGAUCUCAGGGUAUGAGUUCAAGCUCCAUGAUGGGUG